rnacentral:rRNA from 1 species
UGGGAUCAUGAGUGCACAUGGCCGCAUGAUUAAAGGUAUUUUCCGGUAGACGAUGGGGAUGCGUUCCAUUAGAUAGUAGGCGGGGUAACGGCCCACCUAGUCAACGAUGGAUAGGGGUUCUGAGAGGAAGGUCCCCCACAUUGGAACUGAGACACGGUCCAAACUCCUACGGGAGGCAGCAGUGAGGAAUAUUGGUCAAUGGGCGAUGGCCUGAACCAGCCAAGUAGCGUGAAGGAUGACUGCCCUAUGGGUUGUAAACUUCUUUUAUAAAGGAAUAAAGUCGGGUAUGCAUACCCGUUUGCAUGUACUUUAUGAAUAAGGAUCGGCUAACUCCGUGCCAGCAGCCGCGGUAAUACGGAGGAUCCGAGCGUUAUCCGGAUUUAUUGGGUUUAAAGGGAGCGUAGAUGGAUGUUUAAGUCAGUUGUGAAAGUUUGCGGCUCAACCGUAAAAUUGCAGUUGAUACUGGAUGUCUUGAGUGCAGUUGAGGCAGGCGGAAUUCGUGGUGUAGCGGUGAAAUGCUUAGAUAUCACGAAGAACUCCGAUUGCGAAGGCAGCCUGCUAAGCUGCAACUGACAUUGAGGCUCGAAAGUGUGGGUAUCAAACAGGAUUAGAUACCCUGGUAGUCCACACGGUAAACGAUGAAUACUCGCUGUUUGCGAUAUACGGCAAGCGGCCAAGCGAAAGCGUUA